UACAGUAUAAGUGUUAACUAACAUGCUAAACACGGGCAAUAGAAUUAUGGGUGAUUCUUCUUUGUACUUUUCCUAAUUUUGGUGUUUAGUAUAAUUUUUUUCAAGUUAAUGUAUAGUCACAAAGCUAUUCUUUUUCACCUUUGUCUACAUCUGUUUUCUAAUUGUUGUUUUUAACAUAUAAAUGUAAUCUGUAAAUGCCAGCCUUUGGCUCAGAACCUUUGUCUCUUACAGUUCAAGGUAACAGAUGUUGAGUCCAUCAGAAUUCCCCUCACUCACAACUUCUGUAGUUGUUUCAGAAUGUGUUGCUCACAGUGUUUUCCUAAUCAUCUAUUAAAGCAGCAUUUUCUCUCUUCUUUUUAUAAUUUCACAGCCUUAGACUUCUGGACAGAAAGAUAUACUGCAAAUGUACCUCCCUCCUACAAAGCAGGCGUCAACUCCAAUGAGAAAGUAGUUGGUUACUCCAGCAAACCAUCAGGUCACUAUUGCAGCAGUGGGCCUGCCUUGCUUGUCAGCACCAAGAAUGUCACUCCAGCCCUGGUUGAAGGUUUGAAGACAGACUGCAGGUGCCUGGGGAGCAGUGUGUGCCUGCUGCACAGAAGUAGAUGGCUGAAUCUCCAGGCUGAGUGGCUGUGAUGUGCAAGGAAAGGUGUUUGACUUUCUUAUUCAAUAGAAGGUCUAGGAAAGACUUUGAACUCAGCCCACAACCUAGCUGUGCUCACAGACUGUGCACCUGCUCAACCAGGUGAGUGCACUAGCUUCCUAUUUAUCCUCGUGAGUAUCACAUUUUCAUACCUAGCUGGGUCAUAUAACCUGUGAACCAACCUAACCAGGUGAGUGAGUGUUCCAGAUCCCACUAUCCACUCAAUCUGAAUGUUCCCAGGCCUACCACCUGUGACUACACCUCUUGUCCACCAUCCCAGCCAGUCGAGAGCCCAGAAUCCAUCUACUCACAUCUUCUCCACACUUCAGAAGGCCUAUUUUGAGUCUUGCAGUCAUCAUACCAACCCAGACAUGUAAGUGUCCCAGAACCUCAGUGUGUCAUCCACACAGUCCCUGGCAUAGCUGGGCUUAAACAGCUUUUCAUCAGCACACAGACAUACACCGGAGCCAUAUCAACACACUUUUUUGAUAACUAAUUGUUGAAAUAGGUGCAGUGGGGCUGCGUCCCCAGUACCCCAGCCGCCUGGCUAGCUUAUGCCCGAAAUAACAACACACAAACUGUAUUCUUUUAAACACUGCUUGCCCAUUAUCUCCAGCCUCUUCUCAGCUAACUCUCGCACCUGGACUAGCCCAUUUCUAAUAAUCUGUGUAAGCACCCCAAGGUGCGCUUACCAGGAAGAUUCUAGCCUACGUCCAUCCUGGGUCGGAGCUGCCUGGGAGAGCGGAGCCUGGCAUCUCUGCUCCAGAGAGCCGAGCUAUCUUGUCUCUGUCUGAGGAGUCUUACCUCACUUCCUCUUCCUCCUGUUUACUCCUCCCACCUAUGUUUUAACCUAUCAGGGCAAGCAGUUUAUUUAAUUAACCAAUGAAAUCAACAGAUUGAUAUAUGACACUCCCACAUCAACUAAUGAAUUAGAAUCACUCUCAUCCUGCCAUUUAUAAUGAAUAUAUUGGGGCUGGAGAGAUGGCUCAGUGGUUAAGAGCAUUGCCUGCUCUUCCAAAGCUCCUGAGUUCAAUUCCCAGCAACCACAUGGUGGCUCACAACUAUCUGUAAAGAGGUCUGGUGCCCUCUUCUGGCCGUUAGGCAUACACACAGACAGAAUAUUGUAUACAUAAUAAAUAAAUAAAUAUUUAAAAAAAUAAUAAUGAAUAUAUCUGUCUGGAGAGCUGGCCUACCAACUACCUACUGACCUACCAACUCUUCACACAUGAUCUGAAACCAACCAAGCUUGAACAACAGCAAAAACAGAAACAAAAUUCUACUCCACAGAGGCAGGCUACAAUAUCAGACACAAUGAAAGAAGUCUAUAUGCCUAGAUCAUAUCACAAACACACAAACAUCAUGAAAGGCCAAGAUAAUCCCACCCCUCACAAAACACACAAAUUCUAUGAAAAUGUUGUCCAAUGAGAUCUACCUAGAUUAAUCCUAGAACACAGAAUUGAAAAGAAUUAUCAUAAACAUGAUGAUCUAAUUAGAGGGACUUAGAGAGGACAAUGAUAUUUGAAGAAUCAGGAUUUAAACAGCAGAGGGAAGAUUAAGAAAACAAAAAUAUAGAGCUGAGAAAAUAACUAACAGAAUUCAUGAUUGGAAAACUUUAUGUAAUAAAGAAAGAAAAUACUGAACCAAACUUAAGCUGAAAUAAAGAUCAACAGCACAUUUGCCAAAGUCAGGUGAAAGGCUUAUAAACAGAAUGAAGUAAAGCAUAAAUACUAGGAUGUGAAAAUAGAGAAAGUGCACCAGAUAAUCAAAGUCAUGUUAAAAAAUGAGGAAACUUUGAGACACUAUAACAAGACUAAAUACACAAAUUAUAAACAUAGAAAAAGAAUAGGAACUCCAAGUCGAUAACAUAGGAUAUAUGCUCAAUAGUGUUACAGCAGAAAACUUCCCUCAAAUUCCAGAAAGAUGCACCCACUCAAAUGUGAUGAUUGAAAAAUAUUUCAUGACAUAAACAGCCUAACAGAAUUUUAUACGCAACAAACCAGACCUAAGAAAAAUAGAAGAACCAAUAUUUAAAACUGAGUAGAAAUAAGGAUAGCAGAGAGACUGAGAGAAGAAAUACAAAAGUCAUAAGUAUAAAAACACAAAAUACUACUGUGCACACAAACAACAACAACCCAAUGACCACAGCUAAUAUACUCUUCAACAACACUGAAAAGCAAGUCUUUAAUCUCCAA